rnacentral:rRNA from 1 species
GAUGAACGCUGGCGGCGUGCCUAAUACAUGCAAGUCGAGCGAACAGAUGAGGAGCUUGCUCCUCUGUCGUUAGCGGCGGACGGGUGAGUAACACGUGGAUAACCUACCUAUAAGACUGGGAUAACUUCGGGAAACCGGAGCUAAUACCGGAUAAUAUAUUGAACCGCAUGGUUCAAUAGUGAAAGACGGUUUUGCUGUCACUUAUAGAUGGAUCCGCGCCGCAUUAGCUAGUUGGUAAGGUAACGGCUUACCAAGGCAACGAUGCGUAGCCGACCUGAGAGGGUGAUCGGCCACACUGGAACUGAGACACGGUCCAGACUCCUACGGGAGGCAGCAGUAGGGAAUCUUCCGCAAUGGGCGAAAGCCUGACGGAGCAACGCCGCGUGAGUGAUGAAGGUCUUCGGAUCGUAAAACUCUGUUAUUAGGGAAGAACAAAUGUGUAAGUAACUAUGCACGUCUUGACGGUACCUAAUCAGAAAGCCACGGCUAACUACGUG